UACGAAAAUUGUCGGGUGAGUGCGAACUAGCUCCUGACGUCAUAAAAUUAAUCUCCAGCAAUUCGAUGUUUACAUUAGAUAUGUAUAAAUUAUCAUCCCACACCAGCCGCAUCUACUGAGCAAUUACCCGAACUUGCGUUGAAGCUCUUGUCUGGUAAAGACUUCUUCUCCAAUAAGCGUAGUCGUGCUUAAGACAAUCGCAAUCACGCAGAAUCACUAGUACAUUUCCGACGUGUGUGUGCUCGACCUACAACGAUGUACAGCCAUUUAUUACAUGUAGUUGCGUGUUUGAUUAUUCCUAUAGACGAUAUAGAAAUACAUUUGCAACGCCUGUGUUCGUGCUAUGGUGUUUGUCGAUCAAAUAAACCAACUCAAUCUAUGUGUUUCAUCCAUCAAGGCAUAUUUUGUGCUUGAGAAAGAUUGUCCAGUCAGUUCGUAGGCGUCAAGAAAAUUACCAACUUCUGCUAAAGAAUUCCACGGCCUGUAUGGAUUGGUUUCCAGUUAGUAUCUCCGUCGAAGAUCAUCAACAACGAACAGGGAAACGCUUGGAGAUGAAAG